CGAAGAAAUGAUAAGAACGCGGCAGAGGCUUCAAGUCUGUUUCCUCUUGCGAGUAGCAGAGAUGAAGAACAAUUAGUCAUACGUGACGGUGGCUGUUGAUAUAGCGUCGAGUAGAAAGAAUAGCGGCAACGGUGAGUGGUGUUGCAGCCAUCAGUGAAGAAAGAGCAUCUGACAAUAAGUUGAUGACAUUAAUGUAGAGAACGGAGAAUUCUGAGAUCCUGCCGUCGGUGGUGUUAUAGAGGUAAUUUCUUUAAAAAAAUAGAAAUUUAUUUAUAUAUAUUUUAAGAAAAUAGAAAAAUAUUUAUUUAUGUUUAAUCUGCUUCUGUUUUGGCUGGAGGUUGAGGUUGGACUGGGUUGGGUUGGCAGAGGAGCUAAUGGUGGUACGGCUGAUUUGUAGUGAUUACAACAGCACCCCCUCCAACAGCUUCGAAUCAUCUUCAGCUGGAGCAUAUAAGAUUGCUGAUGAAGCUAAGUUCUUUUCAUUUGGAACUAAUGACCUUACCCAAAUGACAUUUGGGUAUAGUGGAGAUGAUGUUGAAAAAUUUCUUUCCAUUUACCUAUCAAGUGACAUUCUGCAGAGUGAUCCAUUUGAGGUACUUGACCAGAAAAGAGUGGGUCAACUCAUCAAGCUUUGCCCAGAAAAAGUCGUGUUGUCAGACCAAACUUAAAAGGAGGAUUAUGAGUAACUGACUAAUUGAGAUUUUUUAACCAAACAAAUAUUAUUGUAUAAACUUAAAAGCAUGUAGCUCUUCUAUUCUAUGCACUAUUGUACCUCAUCAAGGUGCUGCAGCAAUUAACACCUUCAGUUGGGUUAUCAGGUUGGAAUAUGAGGAGAGCAUGGUGUCAGCCAUCUUCUAUUGCAUUCUUUGCUCAAAUUGACUCUUACAGGGUUCCAAUUGAAAAGCUUGCAGCAGCUCAAGUUGCAGUUUAAAAAAUUUGUUAAUCUGGUGUAAGAGGGUUGAAUGACUAGCUUCUAGAUCUUUUAUUACUCUGUUGUUAGAGCUCCUUUCAGUCCUUAACUGUUUUGUUACAUUUUAGCUUCCAGUCCUUAAGUGCUUCCAUUACUUUAUGGUUUUUG